rnacentral:piRNA from 1 species
UGAGAGUCUUUUGCAAUGGGAGAUUUUU